GACGAACGCUGGCGGCGUGCUUAACACAUGCAAGUCGAACGGAAAGGCCAUGCUUUUGUGGGGUGCUCGAGUGGCGAACGGGUGAGUAACACGUGAGUAACCUGCCCUUGACUUUGGGAUAACUUCAGGAAACUGGGGCUAAUACCGGAUAGGAGCUCCUGCUGCAUGGUGGGGGUUGGAAAGUUUCGGCGGUUGGGGAUGGACUCGCGGCUUAUCAGCUUGUUGGUGGGGUAGUGGCUUACCAAGGCUUUGACGGGUAGCCGGCCUGAGAGGGUGACCGGCCACAUUGGGACUGAGAUACGGCCCAGACUCCUACGGGAGGCAGCAGUGGGGAAUAUUGCACAAUGGGCGGAAGCAUGAUGCAGCAACGCCGCGUGCGGGAUGACGGCCUUCGGGUUGGAAACCGCUUUCGCCUGUGACGAAGCGUGAGUGACGGUAAUGGGUAAAGAAGCACCGGCUAACUACGU
rnacentral:rRNA from 1 species